UGGGGAAUUUUGGACAAUGGGCGAAAGCCUGAUCCAGCAAUGCCGCGUGUGUGAAGAAGGCCUUCGGGUUGUAAAGCACUUUUGUCCGGAAAGAAAUCCUUGGCUCUAAUACAGUCGGGGGAUGACGGUACCGGAAGAAUAAGCACCGGCUAACUACGUGCCAGCAGCCGCGGUAAUACGUAGGGUGCAAGCGUUAAUCGGAAUUACUGGGCGUAAAGCGUGCGCAGGCGGUUUGCUAAGACCGAUGUGAAAUCCCCGGGCUCAACCUGGGAACUGCAUUGGUGACUGGCAGGCUAGAGUAUGGCAGAGGGGGGUAGAAUUCCACGUGUAGCAGUGAAAUGCGUAGAGAUGUGGAGGAAUACCGAUGGCGAAGGCAGCCCCCUGGGCCAAUACUGACGCUCAUGCACGAAAGCGUGGGGAGCAAACAGGAUUAGAUACCCUGGUAGUCCACGCCCUAAACGAUGUCAACUAGUUGUUGGGGAUUCAUUUCCUUAGUAACGUAGCUAACGCGUGAAGUUGACCGCCUGGGGAGUACGGUCGCAAGGAUUAAAACUCAAAUGAAUUGACGGGGUCAUAGCUG
rnacentral:rRNA from 1 species